UGCAGUCGUACGAGAAAGCCUUCGGGCGAGUAAAGUGGCGAACGGGUGAGUAACACGUGAGCAACCUGCCUUUGGAUUCGGGAUAACUCCUCGAAAGGGGGGCUAAUACCGGAUAAGACCACGGAGUCGAAUGGCUCAGGGGUAAAAGAUGGCCUCUUCAUGAAAGCUAUCGUCCAAAGAUGGGCUCGCGGUCCAUUAGCUUGUUGGUGGGGUAACGGCUCACCAAGGCGACGAUGGAUAGCCGACCUGAGAGGGUGAUCGGCCACACUGGGACUGAGAUACGGCCCACACUCCUACGGGAGGCAGCAGUGGGGAAUUUUGCGCAGUGGGGGAAACCCUGACGCAGCGACGCCGCGUGGAGGAUGAAGGCCCUUGGGUUGUAAACUCCUGUCAGGAAGGACGAACGGCAGGGUAGUUAAUACCUGCUCUGUUUGACGGUACUUCCAGAGGAAGCUCCGGCUAACUCCGUGCCAGCAGCCGCGGUAAGACGGAGGGAGCAAGCGUUGCUCGGAAUCACUGGGCGUAAAGGGCGUGUAGGCGGGAUGGUCAGUCGGAUGUGAAAGCCCCGGGCUCAACCCGGGAAGUGCAUUCGAUACCGCCGUUCUUGAGUGUGGUAGAGGAGAGCGGAAUUCCUGGUGUAGCGGUGAAAUGCGUAUAUAUCAGGGAGGAACACCUGUGGCGAAGGCGGCUCUCUGGACCAAUACUGACGCUGAGGCGCGAAAGCUAGGGGAGCGAACGGGAUUAGAUACCCCCGGUAGUCCUAGCCGUAAACGAUGGGCACUAGGGUG
rnacentral:rRNA from 1 species